AGACGUAUCCUACGGCAGGCAGCAGUAGGGAAUUUUCGUCAAUGGGGGCAACCCUGAACGAGCAAUGCCGCGUGAGCGAAGAAGGUCUUCGGAUUGUAAAGCUCUGUUGCCGGGGAAAAAGGAAGGAAAGAGGAAAUGCUUUUCUUUGGAUGGUACCCGGCCAGAAAGUCACGGCUAACUACGUGCC
rnacentral:rRNA from 1 species